UGAAAUAAUCACACACAAAACUAUUCCAAUUGUAAUACUGUUUGGCCAAUAGCUUAAGCGUACUUUUGGCUAACUCUUAUAUCCCAAACUAAUCCACCUCCAUUAAUUCGUCUAUUGCCAUAUGUCUGUGACUUACCAGAUAAAGUCCCAUUCCUUGAAAUCUGUCUCUGGCAGGGCUACAUGACUUCUCAUUGACUCUGCUUUCUUUCUCCCAGCAUUCAGUUUAUUUUUCCCGCCUGACUCUGUUCUGCUAAACCACUGACUGAAACAGUUUCAUUCAUUAACCAAUAAAAGCAAAACAUAUACAGAAGGACUUUCACACCAUGGGUGCAUAAAUAAAAAUGAUUAUUCCUACACAGGACUCUAGGUCUACAUUGACAUGCUUUGGCUUACUUUUUAAGCAACUUUAAGCUUGGCAGUAUACAUAUUUUACUCAGUCUUAUUUUUAGGUUCCACAUUGUGCCCCACAUACUAGGAGACAUUGUAUACUUUUGUCCCUACUAGAAGUUAUUAUUUUGCAAUUACAAGUGAUGUAACUGAGAUGAGGAGAUAGAUCUUUUAGGUUCAUUUUGUGAUCACUUAAAGAACAGAUUUGGUGUUGAGGACUGAAGAUGUGGUCUGUAUUUACAAAAAUAUUUUCUGCCCAUGAACUAGAAAUCUUUAAUUAAUAUAGAGGUUAAAUAAUAUCUGACUUUUUUCAGAUGCAGCAACAGUCCCAAUUUAAUUAUAAAUGGAGAAGCAAUAGAGGAGCUGACACCCAACCAUAUUUCUAUUGACAAAUAAUGAACAAUUUGAAACUAUUGGAGGAAUUUCUGUAGCAGAUAAGAAAAUGGAUUAUCUACUGAUUAUACUUUAUAUUUCAGUAUUGAGAGAUUAUUAUCUAUCAUUUAUUAGAUGUGGCUUAUAGAAAUUUUUAUAUAAAUAAACAAAUAAAAUGUAUAUGAGUAAAGCAAGAAUUGUAGGCAUGCCAAUAUUCUGAAAAUUGAAAAGAAUUUUAAGGAAUGUUUUCCAAAACUGUAUAUGUUCAAUAUAGCACACUCAGUUAUAAAUAAAAUGCUUUAUUAAAUAUUCCA